rnacentral:siRNA from 1 species
GGGCAAGCCUACAAUGAGGCUGGU